GCUUGUCUCAAAGAUUAAGCCAUGCAUGUCUUAGUGUAAAUAACUCUUAUGAAACUGCGAAUGGCUCAUUAAAUCAGUUAUCAAAUACGUGAUAGUCCCUUACUACUUGGAUAACCGUAGUAACUCUAGAGCUAAUACAUGCGCAAAUUCCCGACUGCUUUACGGCGGAAAGGAUGUAUUUAUUAGAUCCAACCAGCCCGGUCCGCCGGAGUCCCUGGUGAGUCAUAAUAACUGAGCGAAUCGCAUGGCCUUGCGCCGGCGAUGGUUCAUUCAAGUUUCUGCCCUAUCAGCUUUCGAUGG
rnacentral:rRNA from 1 species